CUACUUUACACAGGCAACCCAAUUCUGAUCUUUUUCCACCUAUUGGUCUUUUACACAAGCACAUCAAAUCUUUUAAAAUCAGAUCUUUUUCAGAACUGAUCUGAUUGGUCAAAAGACCAAAAACAUAUAUUGGAAUUGGGCUGCCUGUGUAAAUGUAGCCGAUCGUUAUGUACAGUGUUGUUCUGAAUGAUGUACAGUGAGAGAAUUGUAGAGCAGAUGGUGUUAACAAACUGUUGCAUACCUGUGUUUAGCUCCAAUCAAGGCACAUAGUUUAUCUGGUGGUGCACACUGUUCAGUUGUGAGAGAAAAAUGUGGCCAUUCGCACAAUCUGAAAUGGCACCCUAUUUCAUAUAUAGUGGAGAGGAGUUGAGAGGUAGAGGAGUGGAGAGGAGAGGAAGAGGAGUGGAGAGGGAGAGGAGUGGAGAGGUAGAGGAGUGGAGAGGUAGAGGAGUGGAGAGGACUGGGAAGAGGAGCGGAGAGGUAGAGGAGUGGAGAUUAGAGGAAGAGGAGUGGAGAGGACUGGGAAGAGGAGCGGAGAGGUAGAGGAGUGGAGAGGACUGGGAAGAGGAGCGGAGGGGUAGAGGAGUGGAGAGGUAGAGGAGUGGAGAGGAAGAGGAGUGGAGAGGACUGGGAAGAGGAGCGGAGAGGUAGAGGAGUGGAGAGGAAGAGGAGUGGAGAGGACUGGGAAGAGGAGUGGAGAGGUAGAGGAGUGGAGAGGAAGAGGAGUGGAGAGGACUGGGAAGAGGAGUGGAGAGGUAGAGGAGUGGAGAGGAAGGGGAGUGGAGAGGUAGAGGAGUGGAGAGGUAGAGGAGUGGAGAGGAGUGGAGAG
rnacentral:lncRNA from 1 species